AAAUAAACAAAUAAAUAACAGCGUUAUCCAUAUCAAAGCGUUAUCUAUAUCAAGAGUCCCUGCCAUUCUCCUAAUCUCAAUUUUGAAUAAAAUAUUGGAACAUCUAUGUACAUCGUUGUGCCUGGUAUUUCGUUCUCUUUGAGUAAAUGCACUCGCUUCAUGCUCCAAGUUAUUAAUUAUUUGCUUUGCGCAUUCACGUUUAAACUGGUUUAAAAAUAUGAGUGUCUACAACUGGCCCGGAACGGAAUAUUUAGCGUUUGUUGAUAAACACCCAAUCCAGAGCAGUUGAAAAAGCUGUGGGAGGAACUGGCUGGAAAUUUAAACUCGAUAACAAGCCCCAUCAUAAAUAAACAAAACUGGAAAAAUCCAGCAAUUGUUGAAAUGUUCUGAUCUGAUGAAAUCUGGCACAUCGGCGUGUUUCGACCCAAACAACGGCGCUAUUGAAAGCGGCUCGAAUCGGAACACUUUUCCAAUAACUUGCCGUGUUAGACUGUCUUUAAAAGAUAUUGUACGAAUCACUCCAGGGUGGUGUGUAGUAUGUACUGGGCCAUUAUAAUUUUUAUUUGUUUUAAAUAGUGUAGAGAUGCCAGGCCCGCAAGGGUGAAAUCUUGCCGCACUUUAAAAAAUUAUAAUAAAAUGGCAAGGUUUAAUAAAGGAACUUUAGCGACAUUUGGAGCAAUUGCUGUUAAGGUUCCGCCAAGUGUCCCAUCUAUUAACGUGGAAGAUCUCAUAGCGUGCGUCAAGGAUGCUAUGGAACCGAUGAACAAUUGGUCAAAAACUAAUACCAUGCAAGAACGAUUGCACACCACCCUAGAAAUAGAUAAAAUGAAACAAGAGAUAAAGGAUACGGCUUUAGAGUGAAAUAACACAUCACAGAUACAUCACAUGCAUAACAUAAAUAGCAUCAAAAAGGAAUUUGUAAUUCUGUAAAAAAACUGGCAACACUUAUUAAAGAAAGAAAUGACCGCGAACAAAAAUUUUGGGAGGAACACCUGAAAGUACAACAAGAAUUGGUAGAAGCUACCUUACCAAAGUUCUAGGCAAAACAAAAUGAAAUAUUAUAAAGGAGGAGGAACAAAGGAUUAAAGGAGGAAAUUCUAGAGGAAUAUCCAUGAGCCAGCCAUAUGAUUUGGUAGUGGGAGUGCGCUUAAGUAAUUGCAUUGUCACUUUAAAGCGCUUACAAAAAUGCAAUUAUAUGCAAUGCUGAAAGAACGAAGCAAAAAUCGUUUAGAACACUUAACAUAUGCCCAUAUAGACAUCUCAUAAAUAUAGGCGUUUCAUAAAAACCGGUCUACACUAGAGUCCAAGGAAUUGUUGGAAGAUAAUUUAGAGCAAUUGUUAAAAUGUAGAGAAUUAAAUCGUCAACUGGCUGACGGUUGUAUGCCUUCAAAAAUUAAGGAACGAAUUUUGGCAAUAAAUUCACGUACCGACCAACAAUAGUUAAAAAUAAAGACAUUUAAUUUCGAUUUAAUAAACAACAAGGACUACCUUGGCCCAAAUAUUGGAUAUCGAUUAUCUUGAGCACGUAGAUGUGUUAGGUAUCUGAUAAUAUAUUGAAGCAAAUAAUUAUUUCAUUUUGAUGAAAAUACUUGGUGAACAUUAAAAUCCCACUUGCACGUUCUACAAAAUGGAAAAUAAAGUAUUAAUCCUGACUGUCUGUUGGUAAAAUCCAUUCCACUUCUGCUCAAUUAAAAGGUAUUGAGAACAAUAUUUCCGAAUUUAAAUAUUUUUGAAAACUUAGUACCCUUAUGGGUUGGCUCAUCACUAUUUGCGAAUAUGAUAGAAGAGCAUGUUUGCUUACUUGAAGGAUUUUAACGGACGAAGAAGAGACAAGGAAAAGGGCAAACUCAGAAUCUGGACUAAAUAGUUGGAGGAGUUGUCUUGGCAUAUUUUACGAUUUCGAGAAUUUGAAUCGCAAAUGUUUAGACGAACGCUUCUUUUAAAAGCUACCCGGAAUCCCUGGAGCAUAAUUACUAAACUACACCACAAUCGCAAUAUGCGGAGGUAAAAUCAAAACGCUUUGUCAUAUCGCUUUUAUUGUGAAAUGACCAAAUUAAUCGAGCGGCGAAGUUUUCCGCUUCGGCUUCUGCAUUUCUAAUUAAGGACGAUAUCAUGGAAAAUCGUCACAUAACGAAUGCGUACUUUUUCACUCAGCAACAAUUUAAAAAAACCCCGGGACUGGAUCCAUUCGAUUCUUUGGAUUGCCCUGAAUGCGUAUCCACCAAUCGAAAGAUUAUUUUCAUAAUGUAAUUGUUAUAAUAACAAAUAGCAAAAUAAGCCAAUUUAGAAAGUCUGUACCAAGCAAUCACGAUAAUCUAUUAGAAGCGUUUCCACAUUUCAUAUAAUAUUAUCGCUACACGCGAAAUAAACUUAGAAAUCAUAUUCAAGAAUAUUUCUUAACGUAGUUACUCAUGUAGCUUAAGUUUAAAUC